ACGAAGUAUUGUUACACCCCUAGUGUAUGAUAUUAUAGUCCGGUAUAAGCGUUUGGAACUUCCUUGGUGAAGGGAAUGACUGAACUAGUGUUGGGGAGUCUGCUACAAAAGAGUAAAUAAAAACAAAUACAAUUUUUUUUAAAUACUGUAAUUAUAUUCCAUUUCUCCUUUAAUUUAUGUAGAGUAUAUGUAUAUAUGAGAAAUUACAUUUUAUAUGAUUAAAAUAACUUUUUUUUAAUAGAUGGCGUACCAUAAAAAAUGGAGGCGGCAAAAUUCUGAAUUGCAUGCAUUGACACUGUCUAGCAGUGAAUCAGAGGAGGAGGAUUUAUUUGCUGCUGGGGUUGGCGUGGGUAAAACCAACGGCAGUCUGAGAGAAGACAGCGCUGGGAGUACUGUUGACAUCAAUGAUUUUGUGUAUGAGGAUGGCCAGCAGUGUGACAGUGAAACUGAUGAUGCAGAAACAGGCACUUCCUCAGAUGAAUUAAGUGAUUUGAGGAGCGAUUUGGCUAAAUGGGCUGUGAAGAAUAAAGCAACUCGGGCGUCUGUUGAUGAGCUCCUCUCUGUGUUAAGAAAACAUGGUCAUCGGCUGCCUAAAGAUGCAAGAACACUGUUGGGAACUCCACACCAAGUAGAAGUACAGGAAUUAUGUGGUGGUCAAUAUCUUUAUUUUGGUCUUGAGUCUGGAAUUUUGAAAAUAUGUUCACAGUAUUCAGAUGAGUUCUCCAAAGAAAAAGAUGUACUCCUAAAUUUCAACAUAGAUGGUUUGCCAUUGUUCAAGUCAUCAAAUGUUCAGAUUUGGCCAAUUCUUUGUAGUGUUAAAAGGUUUCAGCCUUUUAUUAUAGCCAUAUUUUGUGGCAAUGAAAAACCAAAUCCUGUUAGUAAUUUCAUGGCAGACUUUCUUGAAGAGCUGACUAUGCUUCAACAAGAUGGAAUUGCGUUCAAAGAUGAAACCUUAAAUGUAAAAGUGAAUGCUUUCAUUUGUGACGCUCCUGCGAGAGCUUUUUUAAAACGCAUAAAAGGACACAAUGCAUACAAUAGUUGCGAGCGAUGCACUAUUGUAGGAGAAUAUGUAGACCACAGGGUUGUGUUCAAUUACCAGUCACGAGAGACUAUUUUGUUAAGAACGGAAGAGGAAUUCAACAGACUCUCUUACUCAUCUCACCAAAGUGGACACUCACCCCUGGUAGAUGCAGGCUUGUCAUGUAUACAUUCAUUUGUGUUGGACUACAUGCAUCUGGUCUGCCUAGGGGUGGUUAGAUGCUUACUGACCUUCCUCAAACAGGGUCCAAGAGUGUGUAAACUUUCUCAGAGACAAAUUGGUGAAAUAUCAUCCAAACUUGUGUUUCUCAAUGGAAAACUGCCAAGAGAAUUUGCCCGACAGCCACGGUCUCUUGCCUUUCUGGACAGAUGGAAAGCAACUGAAUUCCGUCAGUUCUUACUGUACACUGGACCUGUUGUUCUUCGUUCAGUGUUGCCUGAGAACUUCUACCACCACUUCCUUACACUUACUGUUGCUAUGUCCAUACUGUUGGACUCUGAUGACGAAACAAGGAAUUCAUAUACUGCCUAUGCUGAAGAACUACUGAUGUAUUUUUACAAAACAUCUACUAAGCUCUACAGCCCCAUCUUUCCUUCUUACAAUGUCCAUUCUCUUGUCCACCUAGCAGAAGAUGUUAGGAAUUUUGGAACUUCUUUAAAUGAGAUCUGCGCUUUUCAGUUUGAGAACCAUCUGCACAAACUGAAGAAAAGUGUCAGAAACGCAAAAAAUCCUAUUUCACAAAUUUUCAAGAGAAUAGCAGAAAUGGAUAAUGCCAAAGUUCGCAUUGCACCAGCACCUCACCACACAUUUGUGUCCACAAAAAAAAGGACUCUUGCUUUCUUUAUGGAGAUGGCUUUGCCUUUGUAAAUGAAAAGAGAUCCGAUAAUAUGUGUGUGUGUGAUGUCUACCACCUUGACAGUUUAGACAGUUUCUUUGAGAAUCCUUGUAGCUCUAAACUUAUAAACAUUGCACUUCUGAGAGAUGGAAGAAGACCUGGAAAACGAAAGCUCAUUGAACAGAAAGACCUUAGGAAAAAAGCUGUCUGUCUUCCAUAUGAAAAUGGAUUUGUUCUGAUACCAAUGCUUCAUGGCAGUGAAAGGCACUAAAGAGCCGUCCAAGGACUGUAGGCGUGUAAGCCUUAAAUGGUGUUAAAGAAAUGGUAAUUUAAUGUUUUUUCAUAUAAAUGUUGUGUUUUAUUAUAACAAAAUGUAUCUAAUUUCAAACACAGUAACCCAACUAUGAAAGUGUGUACACUUGGCAUUUGCGAAUCAUUUUCUAUAUCAGAUCACAAAUGGUCAGUGCUAAAUGGAGGUUUUCAUUGUGCUCCUGCAAAAUUGAUGAGAGGGGAAAAAUCCGAAAAUGAUCACUGGAUAUGAACUUAAAUUGCACAUUGAUACUUCAUGGAAACCUAUUUGUUUUGGCUGACCACUUGUGAUUGGAUCAACAAAAACGCACUGAAAACUGGACAAAUUUUGUAUCUGUAAUUCUUAAAGGGAUAGUUCACCCAAAAAUGAAAACUGUGGACAUUUACUCCCCCUUAAGUUGUUCCAAACGUGUAUAAAUUUGUUCGCUCUGCUGACGCAAAAUAUAUUUUACCAUUUUUUUGCAACAAAGCAGUUUUCAGCAGAACAUUUAUAUGGGUUUGAAACAACUCGAGGAUGAGUAAAUGAUAACAUGAUUUUCUUUUUUUUGGUGAACUAUUCCUUUAACCUCAAUCUGACCAUUUCCUGGCAAUCUGUUAUGUAACCAGUAUAUUAUUUAAUUGUCUACACCAGGGGUUUCCAGUCCUGCUCCUGGAGGGCCACUAUCCUGCAGAGUUUAGCUUCAAUCCCAAUUAAACACUCCAGCUAAUCAAGGUCUGUGUUGGCAUACUAAAAACUGUCAGACAGGUGUGUUGAGGCAAACAGGAGCUAAACUCUGCAGGACUGUGGCCCUCCACGACAGAGUUUGGACACCACUGAUCUACAAAAUUGCCACAUUAUGUCUCAACCUUUACAAAGUUAUUGGUUUUAUUUUUGUGAUUUGUUUACUGAAAGACACAAACAAUGUGGGCCAGAGCUGCAUGGAGAGAAGGCAAUGCCGAAAUGGAGGACGUCAUUCCAUCCUGUUGGGUCAAGAAUGGAUGUGUGUCUUGGCCUGAUCAACAAGUGAAAAAAGCGAUGAAAACUUUAAGAGAGCCUGAGGAUGUGUUGAUGAAAUUUUCACUUAUAAAAGUAAAAUUUCAGUCAGAUGACCUCCCUGACGGUGAUUUCACAGCUGUGGCUGUUGCUGAUCUCCCAACAGUUUUGCAAAUAGAUGAUCAACCUCUUCCCUGUGUACCCAAAAAAGUUCAAAAGAAUGUGCAGUCUG